rnacentral:tRNA from 1 species
GCCUGACCGGCUCAGUCAGUAGAGCAUGUGACUCUUGGUCUUGGUGUUGUGAGUUCAAGCCCCACGUUGGGCA